rnacentral:lncRNA from 1 species
CUCCAGCUAGCUAGCUAGUCAAUGUAUUUUAAUUUUAUUAAUUGAAAGGAAGGACUAAGGAGGGAAAAGAAUGCAAAGGAAACAUGAAAAGAUUUUACAAAUUUUUAAAUGCUUAUUUUUCCAGAUGGAAGGUUGAGACAGUAGGAUUAGAGACUUCAUGGCUGCAGAUGUUGAAGCUUUUGCUAAAUGAACAGCCAAAGUCAGUU